UUGGAUGGCAUACAGUAUACCAAGUAUAAAACUGUAAGUAGUGUGUAUUUACGUAGAAAUUAUGAAUCAUUUAUUUUGUGCAAAUUGUUCUUAGACAAAAAAAAACACUAAGUCAUCUAAAAUUACACAGAUAGGUUGUCAUUUCUCAAUUUGUUAAUGAAAUGUUGAAGCUUUCUUGUCAGUUACACUAGGCUUGACGUAGACUAUCAGUGGUUGUUGCAUGACAGCAUCUAAAAAUCAGUUAUUCAAGCAGAUUUUAAUUUUUAAAAAGAAUAAUUAAAAUAAUUUUAAAUAUAAAUAUUCUGAGGUUUGGGGGAUAAAUGCAGGUUUUGUUCUCAGAUCUUUUUUCAUAUGUGGGAGUAGGCUUGACUUUGAAGCUUUAUCUAGAUGAGCACUAGCAAUGUGCUACGCUGAGUACUGAUGCUACUUAUAAUGUAGAGGUAAGUAUGACUUAAGAUCAAAUCCUGUACAGAAAAAGUGCUCCUAGAAAUACUGUUCUUUGUUACUACAAGCUUUACAAGAGAAAAAGUGCUGUCAGUGGCACAUUUGUACACUUACGAAGGAAUUUGUAACACUUCCUUUCAGACUAGAAGGACAGAAGAGUGCUCUCUUUGCUUCGAACUCUGCUGUGUCUAGAUAGAAUUGUACAUAUUGCUGGGAACACAUCCACAGGAUAAAAGUACAUAAAAGGAAAAAUAAUUGCAAUGACUUUUCCAAGAUCUCAUCGCAGCUGAUACACUGAAUAUAUUAAAAUUUUUGCUACAUAGAAAGUACUUGAUUUGCUUUGAAACAUUACUAGAUUUUGCCAAUUUUGUGUAGUAACAAUAUAAUUAUUCUGCUCUAAGAUGUAUCAUAUGUUUAAAAAUACUAUGCAUAUAGCUCAGAGCUCCAGUAGAAACCUGAGGACUGUAAGCAACUGCCUUUGAUCUAGUUUGAAUCUUCCAAUAGUUGUCAUCUCUAAUGAAUUAUAUGGGUUUGUCCUUCCUGUAUCUAAAUGCAAAACCUCUUUUUUCUGACUAAGAAAACACUGAUUCUCAGUCAUCUGAAUUAGCAAGCAAAGAGGUCCUGGAGAAGAAUCUCCAUCCUUGCACCUGCAGCUAAAUUUAUGAUCAGAAGACUAAUCCUAGGAGUGAUGCAGAGCAUCCAUUCCAAGCUGUAGUGUUUGCACCUCACCUCUCUUUGCAUGCCAGAAGCAUUAAUUUAAGGAGCUCUGUGUUUUGACCCUGGCAGUCCUGUAGGACAUGGACACAACAUAGGUUGUGUUAUAUGCUACCAGAACUUUUUUAAAAUACUCUGUUUUACGUCCUGGUAGACUAGGAGUGUGGUACUUUGGGAAGAUUAGUUGAGGAUAAGAGAUGAUGACAGGAUCAAAUGCAGUGCCUAUUCAGCACCAUGACUUAGGCUUUUCAAAGACAUAGGCAGCACAGCUGACAGGAGGCUCUCACUACUCCUUUGCACAGAGUAGAAAGAAAAGUAAGUUGCCAUAAAUAAAUGGGUGUUCUGCGCUCAAUUCUUUAACCUCAUAGAUGUCUCAUUCAAAUGAUCUUCCACUUGCAGUAAUAUAUCUUACUGAAGAUAAUUGUUUUCCUUACUGCUCAUAGAAUAUGUAAAUGGCCUUAAGAGGAAUGCUGAUCACACUAGUCAGCCUUUUGGGGAGCUGUGUCUGGCACAGAAGGAUGUAUCUUCUUCGGACAGCUGUGAAUUUCUGUUUUUUGGGUGAUUUGUUAUUGUCUUUUUAGUAAUUGAUCUUUGUACUUAAAAGCAGGUAUUGUUCCUUUUAGUCUGCUGUCUUCUUAGCCUUAACUGAGUUUAAAUCCUCAGUUGCAGUAGUAAAAAGCAUGCAUUUUGUUGUAAGCUGUUUUACAGCGUUUUCAUAAAUUUUGGCAUGUUGAAUGGCAGCUUCUCAAUUCCAUAUACCUCCCAGUUAAUAAACAAAACAAAUAGACGUGCAAUAAAAUAGUAAACAGACAAUGAAUCUGAUUCAAAUCUUGUUUUUUCAAGUUGAAUUAUUUGAGGAAAUUAGUUUAUGAACUAAAUUUGGAAGUCUGGACUCCAUCAGUCUUGAGGAGAAAGAGCAGUAAUUACAUUCUCUCUCAAUUUACGCUCUGUGUCUGUACUCCUUUUUUUAGAAUUUUUCUUUUUAAUUCUAUUACACUGAACUUAAUUUCACAUGACAAAUAGCAGAAUCAUGCAGAUAAAUGACAGAAGUAUAAUUGUUCUGUAAAGAUCCCAUGAUUUGCUGUAAGGAUAUGUGUACGUUGUAGUAAUAAGAAUGUAUCAAGGCUGGUGUUAGUCUCUUAGCUACAGUAUAGGUAGAUGACAUCACUUGCCCUUCCUGUGUCCACUGAUGUCAUCACUCCAUCAUAGAAGGCCACCAGGUUGCUCAGGCAAUCUGACCUUGGUGAAGCUGUGCAGGCUUAAUCUUACAGUCCUUUUUUUUCUCCUGAUUUGGAGAUGCAGCUUAGUUCCGCUUAUAUAAUCUUAGUGUUUAAUUUAAAAUACCUGUAUAUUUUCAAGAGUGUGAUAUUUUAACAGUAUAUUUGCAGUAUGAAUGUUUCCUGUUUGACCACAGGAACAGGCGAAGAAAAUGUUCAGCAAGUAGACCCCAUCCUUUGUUAAUGUGAAAUGAUUUACCAAGCUGUUUAUUCCCAAUGGAGAUCAACUGAUUAUAACAGCAAGCUUGAGUGUGCAGAGAGGCACUUGGAGGAAAGAGCGGAAAAGUUGUAACAGAAGUCACGUAAGAUUCAGACAACAAUGACACCUAUAAACUUCAGCUUGAUGGUUCAUCCCUGACAAGAUAAAGAACAACAAUCAUGUCCAAAUUCAAAGAUUCUGAAACAGAAGUAGUAGAAACAGUCAACUGCAAAGAGCAUCCAGAUCAGGAAAGAUACAUUUCCUUGGAUACAGAAAUAAAAUGAAGCCUGAGA